AUUGAACGCUGGCGGCAGGCUUAACACAUGCAAGUCGAACGAGCGGCGGACGGGUGAGUAAUGGCUGGGAACCUGCCUGAUGGAGGGGUAUAACUACUAGAAACGGUAGCUAAUACCGCAUACCAUCAGAUGUGCCCAGGUGGGAUUAGCGAGUGGGUGGGGUAAUGGCUGACCAAGGCGACGAUCCCUAGCUGGUCUGAGAGGAUGACCAGCCACACUGGAACUGAGACACGGUCCAGACUCCUACGGGAGGCAGCAGUGGGGAAUAUUGCGCAAUGGGCGCAAGCCUGAUGCAGCCAUGCCGCGUGUGUGAAGAAGGUUUUCGGGUUGUAAAGCACUGUCAGUGAGGAGGCGUUACUCGCAGAGGAAGCACCGGCUAACUCCGUGCCAGCAGCCGCGGUAAUUC
rnacentral:rRNA from 1 species